rnacentral:ncRNA from 1 species
AAAGUCCCUUCCGGAUGAGAACUAGCCACUUACAGGGUCCUUUAGCUAUGCGCGACUGUGGGUAACUUCUGUCGUGAAAUGUUAGCGAAGGCACUCACAGGCUAGGUAUUGAGCCACGAAAUCGGUAAAUCGGAGGUAGAGAUGCAGUUAAGCUAAGCAGAAACCUAUAUGGUGAGCAGGUUCAUCACUGGUUACUGCGGUUAUUCAAUC